CAGCACAUUUCCCAGUGAAAUCAAUAUUGAUUCUACUGUAUCUAUGUAUAUGUACAGGGGUAAGGGAACUUACCUCCAGUAAGAAAGUGAAAGAGGAGGAGUGGUCGGCAGCAGCCAGAGGAAAGACAAGGAUAGAGGUCGGACGGUUGUUGCCCAGAGUCAUUGGAACAGGAGGCGGGGGUUGCAAUGUCUGACAGCCUGAUCAGGAAGCCAUGAUGGGAAACAAACAAACAGAUAAAGGGCUGCCAUUUUUUGUUUGUAUGAGACAUGCGUUUGUCCCAUUUCCAGGCGGCCUGAUUAUGGCUCACCUCUUCAAGGACAGGGGGCUGAUCUGAGUCCUGAACUGUGGGGAAGAUGUGCUGAAGAUCAUU